UACGGAGGGGGCGAGCGUUAUUCGGAUUCAUUGGGCGUAAAGGGUGCGUAGGUGGCGUGGUAAGUCGGGUGUGAAAUUUCGGAGCUUAACUCCGAAACUGCAUUCGAUACUGCCGUGCUUGAGGACUGGAGAGGAGACUGGAAUUUACGGUGUAGCAGUGAAAUGCGUAGAGAUCGUAAGGAAGACCAGUGGCGAAGGCGGGUCUCUGGACAGUUCCUGACACUGAGGCACGAAGGCCAGGGGAGCAAACGGG
rnacentral:rRNA from 1 species